GACGAACGCUGGCGGCGUGCUUAACACAUGCAAGUCGAACGGAAAGGCCCUGCUUUUGUGGGGUGCUCGAGUGGCGAACGGGUGAGUAACACGUGAGUAACCUGCUCUUGACUUUGGGAUAACUUCAGGAAACUGGGGCUAAUACCGGAUAGGAGCUCCUGCUGCGUGGUGGGGGUUGGAAAGUUUCGGCGGUUGGGGAUGGACUCGCGGCUUAUCAGCUUGUUGGUGGGGUAGUGGCUUACCAAGGCUUUGACGGGUAGCCGGCCUGAGAGGGUGACCGGCCACAUUGGGACUGAGAUACGGCCCAGACUCCUACGGGAGGCAGCAGUGGGGAAUAUUGCACAAUGGGCGGAAGCCUGAUGCAGCAACGCCGCGUGCGGGAUGACGGCCUUCGGGUUGUAAACCGCUUUCGCCUGUGACGAAGCGUGAGUGACGGUAAUGGGUAAAGAAGCACCGGCUAACUACGUG
rnacentral:rRNA from 1 species